GCACGCGCGUGUGUCCCACGCCUGUGUGCCCCGUCUGAGUGGCGGUGUGUAGUCCGUGUGAGUGCCUUGGAGACUUCUCGGUGAGUCUAGGGACAGGAAGAUGGUGGGCGACGUGAUCGGGGCCCAGGCCUACGCCUCCACCGCCAAGUGCCUGAACGUCUGCACCUUGGUCCUCGGCAUCCUCAUGGUCGUUGUGGCCAUCACUGUUGUCAUCAUCAGUGCAUCCGUCUCGGGAUGACCCCGCAGGUCUCCGAUGAGGAAGUGCCUGAAGUCCCCCGUCGUUGGCCACGCCCCUCCGUCUCUGCCCCAGCUACCCUGGACUGUUGGCACUCUCCUCUUGCCCUAGCGUUUUACUAUUUUUUAAGUCUUUUUUCCCCUUAAUUUCCAUAAAGUGUGUACUAGAGAGAGAGAGAGAGAGAGAGCGCGCCCCGGGUGGCUGUGGUCAUGCCGCGGUCCUUUUCCUCCGUUUAUGCAUCCCCUGAUGUUUUGGGACCCUGACAGACCUGCACCCAGACUGCUUUUGAAGCCGUUGGGGUUGGGGUUCAGACCGAGGUCGGCCCUGCGGGAUUGGCCCUCUGCAGAGUGUUUCACCCAUGGCCCCUAGCUGCACCCAACUCCAGCACCCUUGUACUUUACAACUUUGUGCUCACAUGUCUGACUACGAUGGGAUUCAAUAAAGUGCACAUGUUUGCAGUGGAGUGGUGCUACCCCCCCGGGAGGGGACGUGCCGAGGGUCCCUCCCUGACCUGGGCCCAUCGCCCAGCCGCCCGCUGUGCUGCGCCGAGGACCAGAGUCCUGGGUGGUCUCUCCUUUGCAAGAUCUGAGCCCUGAGCCUAGAUCUUCCCUUCGGGGAAGCCUGGUUGAGUGUAGAACGCCCCAAUUGUCCGUCACCCUCAGGAAGGUGCAGAGGGUCCACAGCCCAGGGCCUCUGUCCCUGGACUGACGCUUGGGGCCUUGGGAGACUUGCGGGUUCCAGGAGCAGUGAGCUCAUCUGGAAGGCAAGAAGCUGCCACAGGCCAGCCAGCAGAGGGCGCCACAGGCGUCCGUAAAGGCUGUGUCCCUGGGGUGGCCAGCAAGGGUUCAUUCAGCCUUGAACUCCAGCCCUGGAGCGGGUGGAGGGUAGGGCUGAUUCCCCAUCCAGACUCUCCACUCGGCCUCCCAGCCUGAGCCGGUCCUCAGACGGGGAGUGAUGGACAAAGGUGCUGCCACGGGACUGCUGUGUGCACGACCACGUGCCUCAGUCCUUCCCAAGGCAGCUGGUGGCCCUCCACUGGGGUCCCGGGCCCUGCGGAGAGCGGUCCUGUCUGGGCAUCUCAGGCACUGCUGCACACGGGCCGGGUCAGGCCUGCUGGGCUUCUCCCUAGGUCCUGGUCCUCGGGGAGCCUGGGGCGGAGGACAGUGGAGUGAGACAGGAGAAAGCCAGCGGAUGGAAGCGGGGAAGGGCGGGAGCACCUGCCCGUGUGGCUAGAUAGAAAAACCGAUCAGGGCAGAGAGCCCCCCACCCAAGGCAGUGUAGGUGGGCGAUUUCCAGCGGGGCAUGUCUAGCUGACCAAGGGCCCUCGAGCCACUCUCUCUGCUCGGGCCGCUCCUACCUCUUGGGAGCGUAUUUUCACUUUUACUUAAUAAACUAACCUUUGCUUUCGCCA